GCUGCUUCUCUGAACAGAGUUAGGGUUUUGCGCAGCCUCACUCAGGUUGUUGCCCGGCUGGUGGAGGUGGCGUCUAUUAAAGUUAGGGCUCCUUGAGCCGCCUUCCACGAAUUGAGCAAAUCAGGGUCUUAAAAGGAUUAUCUGAAUUUUAGAAUACCAAAUAACUCCCAAAGCAGAGGAGGAAAAAAAGUGCAAGACACUUAAAUCAAUAGAUUUUAUGUAGUCUGCGAUCCUAUUUGAUACAAUAGGAAAUACACAUUGUUUUUCCAAUCCGCACAACCAUUAUUUAAUGUUCAACCAAUGUAAGGCUCCUAAUAGUACAUAGAAAUUAACUCCUAGUACCAUAUUGGAUUACCAAUCAGUAAUAUAUGAUAAAGAUGUUCACCGGGAUGACCAUUUAGAAUGGAGGUCGGUGAUCAUCUCCACUGGCACACACAACAGGUUUCUAAAUAUCAGAACAAAUGUAUCCAGCUAGUCCAAUCUUUGAAUUUACAAAACUACAGCAUACAACUUUGAUACUCCACAAAAGAAGAGAAGUCUCAACACUAUUAUUAAGCACACUUGACAUCUCUUUAGCUCAGGAAAUUUUUUGAUGCAGGAUCCAGCACACAUGCAAGCAAAAUUUUAUAUUCUGCCUGGUUUGGGACAAAUCUGAUUAGACCAAAAAAUUUUUGAAUUAUUUAAAUUUCACAUUAAUAGUUGUCCAGUUGGGAAGACGGAGGAGCCAAGGAGUAAUCAUUUGAAAUUCUUUGUUUUUGCAACCUUAAAUUUAAAUUAGGUUUUAAAUAGGAAACUUUAUGUUAUCAUCUUAACAACUAACAUACAAACCUUAAGAGAGGCCACAAAAGAUUCAUAAUGAUUUAAAAAUUGUGAACUACCUUAGAGGCCAGAUAAUUUCCUUGCAUAUGAAAUUUCACCUUUAAGUCGAUCUCUUUAUUCCUGUUGAGACUUUUGGGAUAAUCAAAGCACUUCAACCAAAUGUAUAGCCUACAAAUCUGAUGCACGAGACAUGAACGCAAAUAUUAAGAGCUACAAUAAGUUUGAAAAAUACUGCUGUCUUAUGAAGUGUCGAGUAGUUUAAUUGAACAUGCAAAAAGUAAGGAAAGUUUCUUUAUUAAAAAAAGGGCAUGUCAUUAAACAUCCUAUGCAUUUUUUAUAUCUUUUGAGAGGUUAAUAGCAAAAUGAAUCUUCCAUAGUAAGGAAAGCUGAAAACAAAAGUGAAGCCAUACAAAAAUACUAAGGUGCCAUUUUGUUAGUGUAGAGAGAAAAUUGUUGAAAAAACUUAAUUAGUGUCACAAAUCCCACUCAAACCUCCCAAAUAUAGAUAAAAAUCAUAGAACAACAAAGAAGCAUGCCAAGAACCAUAGAGUACCAGGAGCUAGUAAUUGCUCUUAAAAAAUAAUUGAUCCUCUAAAAUAUUUCAAACAGUAAUAUCAUCAACAUAACAUUCUUACUUAUCCCCUUUGGCAGUUGCUCAUUGUCAAGAUCAAAUGUAAAGGUCUUUCUUUUGAAGAAUAUCUAUCAGUUAAAGUUGAGGCCAUGCAUUUCCUUAGAUAUGAAUGGAGGCAUAAACUUUUGAUAGCCACCAACAAACAUCAACAUUUUUGUCUUUUGUUCAAGCAACCUCACAAUUCAAUGCAUGUUUGAUGCUAGAAAAGUUCUACAUCAUUAUGAAAUAAAGCCAAUGAAAGCAGGAAAAAAUUAAAAAUGCCCAAAGACAUACCAAGAUAUUCAAAGCAAAGGAACCAUUUUGCAGCUAGACAGAUGGAAGAUGAGCCUGAAAACUGAGUACUUGAUUAGCUGCUAUUCAGAACCUCUACAAAUACAGAAGCAAUAGUGCAAGUAGUUAAUAUCACUCCACACUUAUAACUACAACUGCUACUAUUAUUUCAGCUAGAGAACUAAAGAAGGAAUUUUGUUUGUCCCUCCAAGAAUAAGAUCAAUCAAGUGGAUUUGCGUAUAUCCCACAACUGUGAAGACAUAGGUCAGAGGCGGCAUAUCCAUCCUAUCAUACGAGUCAAUAGCUCCAAGAAGCACAUCAGAAUCUCACAAUCAUUGGCGCUCUUUAACAAUGAUGCAUAGGGCACGAAAACUAUAUAUAUAUGUGGAAUAACUAAAACUUUAAGCUUGGCAGUGAGGCGUUUUCAUAGUAAAAUGCAUUGCUAGUUCGCCCAUGAAUAGAUUAACUAAUUAGUAGUGCUAAUUAAAAAGCACCUUGUCAAUGUAAAACCCCUGGUAGAGCGCGUGGUUUUUACACUGUUUUUUUCGAAAAAUCCCAAUAAAUCUUCAUCUUUCUCCAUGUUUCUAUAAUUAUUUGCACAAAACUUAUUGUAUCUUUGGCGCAAAUUAAAGCAUCACAGGAACAAAAAAAUUUUGUCCAAAAAUGACAUAUUAGCAAAGUCUGAUAUCAGAGCAAACUUUUUUGUUGUUCAAAAUCCAAGGAACACAAAUUUAUCCAUUGAUUAGCAAAUUAAAGACUAAAAGAAACUCAAAACCUGGCAGCAACUUCUGAGGAUUUGCAGUGAAGUUCAUUACUUGGACCGUGUACACUGAGCAAAAAGGAACACCAAAAUAAUUCUGACAAUUGUAGCGGGAAGCAAAGAGACCAAAAGCAGGGAAAAUAGAGACAAUGGAAGACAUGAGACUAACCAGAAUCAUCUUCUUGGACUCGGAAACAGUCUGCAAUCACAAAAAAAUAGGUCAAGUUCAGAUAAGGAGAAAACAACAUGAACAAAAAAUUUAAUGAAAGAAAAAUCUCAAAAUGUUUAGAUUCAAAACCUAAAGUGAUUUCAGAUUUGUCUCUCCUACUUCCUCAUCACAUAGAUAGAUAGAAGAAGAGGAGGAUUUUGACCCAAAAAAAUAAAGACAAGAGAGAAGAAGAGGAGAGAACCUUCGAGCAAUUCUUUUUUCUCCGUUACCGUUUGUUCUCGGCUAGAUAGGGAGAUAAAAAUGAUGAAGCAGCCGUCCGGUUCGAAUGUCCCUUUGAUGGUCAGUUCAGUUGGCUAGGUGUUGGGUCCAGGAGUGGGGUGGGUGUUGGGUCCAAGAGGUCAGUUUUGGACUCCUUCAUGGACCAUUUAAACUCGUUCAAUUAUGGUGGUUUCAUUCCCAGUUCCCACCUCAAAAAAUGGGUUCAAUCUGAAUUUGAAUAGAUGGAAUUGAUUGCAUGUUACAGCCUCAAAAAAUUUGCUCUCCUCUUUCGUUGGAUGAUGCUAUGGUAGUUUUAUUCCCAGUUCCCACCUGUGACUAUGAUUAUCGAUUCGGUUUCUUCUUCUUAGUUAAUGCAUCUGUACCCUGAUUCAAGAAUCAGAAUUGGUCUUCCUCAUUCGAAAUCAGGUAGAGAUCAUAUCAAGCAUUUUAGAAUGCAGUAGAUUGCUCGAAAAAAGGGGUAGAAAGAAACCUGUUAAAAAAGGUACAGCAGAUUGAGAAUCAUAGGGCUUGAUCACAAUAUUGAACAUGCUAAACUUCCAAAAUCACAAACUCGAAAAUAAUUCUAUUUCAAUUGAUAUCCAUAAAAAUACACUCAACAGACAAUAAAACCAAUUCUCUCCAUCAAGCUACAAUACAUAUAUAUAGGCCAAUAGGAAAAUGACAAAAAUCUUAGGGAAAAAAAAGAAAAGGAAUCAAAAUUCCCUCUCCGGGAGAUUUUCAAGCGACGGCAACCGGCUGUCGCUUGGGAGGUUCGAUAUUCUUAUUCUUGCGAUUGGAAUCGGCGAAAUCUUCCGUAUUAUAGAUGACGGUGAUGUAAAGAGAACAGCUAGGGCACCGAGCGAUCUCUUCGCCCAGACGGAGUUCUUCCCUGGUGAUCUGGAAGAGGUCUCCGCAGGGGCAGGGAUACGUGAAGGCCUGGAGCUCCUCGUUCCAUUCCAUGUCCUCAAUCUCUACGUCGUCGUACGACAUCUGAUCUCUCGCUGUUUUCAAGUCCUGGACUAUAGCUGCUUCUUUGAACAGAGUUAGGGUUUUGGGCAGCCUCGGUCAGGGGGUUGCCCGGCUGGCGGAGGUGGCGUCUAUUAAAGUUAGGGCUCCUUGAGCCGCCUUCCACGAGUGCAAGACGACAGCGUACGUUGCCAAACCAUUUCAUUAUUAUUAUAUUAUAAUCGUUAUAAACACUGGGAAUGUUAACGUGGUUGGUUUCAAAAGUUGAGCACCCAAAAAAAUUUUUUAUUUUGCUGGAUUUAAAAAAAGAAGAAAAGAAAAUUUUAGCCAAAAAUAAAAACUUAGGGACUAAUUGGCUAAAUUUAUUUUACUGAAAAAAGUUGAUGGACUCCGUUUGAUAAAACUGAAUCUGAAUUCUGAAUUCUGAAUUCUGAAUACUGAAACAAUUAAUUUGCUGAAUAUUAAGCACUGAAAAAAGAUAUAUGAAUAUCUGAAUCUUAAUGCUGAACAUAUUUAUACUGUUUGAUAAACAUUUAUAACUUAAUGCUUAAUAAGCUAAAUUGUACAAUUUUGCCCUUCUAUCUUUUAAUCCAAAAAGGAAAUGGAACCUAUGAUUUAAUUAGCUUAAAAUUGUUAGAUAUGAAAAUGACAAUAUUUAUUUUUAAAUCAAAGUAAUAUAAAAGAAUAAAUAUAUUAUGAAAAAGUCCAAAUAUCGGUGCAAAUAUUUUUUUAAAUCAGAGUUUGAUAAGAAAAGUCCAAAUAUAAGUAAAAGGAAGCUGCAAUAAACAAGUUUUAAAUUCAUACCAAAUUAUUUAGAAAUUUAAUUACUUCAAUGGAAAAAUGUUGAAGCAAAACAACAAAUAAUCAAUGUCACUUACCUUGGAAAUAAUGAAUUUGAGAUCAGUGAGUACGGUAGCAAUAAAAAAAAUUGGAGGAAAAAAAUGACAAAAUUAUGAAAGAGUAGAAAGAUGGAAAAAAAAAUAAGGAGUAGACAGAUGUGAGGAGCAUGGAGAAAUUGUAAAAAAGUCAUUAAAUAGGGAAAAAAUAGAAGUAGAAAGCCAUUAGACAGAGAAUGGCAUGUUGUUUAAUUAGAUAAGGAUUUUGGAUAGAAAAUAUUAGGUUGUUUAAUUAGAUAAGGAUUUUGAAUGUAAUUAACAAACAAUGAUAGAUUUGGUAGAUAAAAUAAAGUAAUUGAAGUAAAAUCUCUUGAUUCUUAUCAAAUUAAGCAUUCAGUUACGAUUCUUGUGCUGAAAAAAAUACAUACAAAUUCAGCACCACUUAAUAAGUUCAGCAGAAAAAUUUUUAUUUAUCAAACACCCAAAACAUCUGAAUGUCUGAAUGAAUUCAGUUUCAGCACUUUUUUAUGUUAUCAAACAGACACUAAAUAUGGGAUUUUGCCCUAAUGCAAUGUAUAGAAGUUAAAAAUGAAAAUAAAUAAAUAAGGACUAUAUUUUUAUGUACUUUUUUUUUAUAUUUUUGCAGUUAUGGAUAUUAUAUAUUAGUAGAAUGUAUCUCAUUAUAAGAAAAAACAAUAAUAAUAAUUAAUAAGAAACGACUUUUUGUACUAAUUCCUCCCAGACGAAGAUAAGCCAACUUCCAGCCUUCCACCCAAUUUAGCAUGAACAGACUUCAAAUGGUCAGUAGCCGAAAACAAUGCCUACAGAAACUGCCGACUUUUAGUUUUAAAAUCACCCAGCAAAUUGGCCUCAACUCCAUCCCACUUUCACAUGCUUCAAUUCUCAAAGAACUCAAAGAAUCAAAGCCCCUCCAACAAGUCCAUGCCUGCAUAAUUACCUCUGGCCUUUCUAGCAACAUUUUUCUUUGCAACAGAUUAAUGAACUCGUAUGCUUCUUGCGGACUUAUAGAUUGUGCACAGGACAUAUUUUCUGGAACUAAAAAUAGGAAUUUGGUUUCUUGGACAAUUUUAAUAUCUGGGUUCACAAGAAAUGAUCUUCUCAUUGACGCAAUUAAGGCCUUCCAUGAGAUGAUUUUGAAUUAUGUGAGGCCUAAUGCAACUACAAUUUCGAGUAUUUUGCCCGCAUUUGCAAAACUGGGGCUGACACGGAUGGGCAAAUCAGUCCAUGGUUAUUGGAUUCGGCAGAGCUGUGGAAGGAAUGUGUUUGUCGAAACAGCUUUGGUUGAUAUGUAUAUGAAAAUCCGGUGCAUGAAUUUUGCUAGACAUAUAUUUGACAAUAUGCCUGAAAGAAAUCUUGUUUCAUGGAAUUCUGUGAUUUUGGGUUACUCCGAUAAUGGGUCUGGUGAAGAGGCAUUUAACCUUUUUAACUGUAUGAGAAGGAAAGGAUAUUCCAUUGAUGUGUUUACCAUAAUGAGCUUGAUUUCAGCUUCUUUAGGUGUAGGGGAUUUGAGUUUAGCAAGGGUGGUCCAUGCCUUGACAAUUAGAAUCCGGUAUGUCUGUGAUCGACUUGUCAUGAGUGCCUUAAUGGAUUUAUAUAUAAAGACUGAUGGUGUUGAUGAUGCUUAUUGUAUUUUUAAUGAGAUUUCAAAGAAGGAUAUAGUUGUUUGGACUGUAAUGUUAUCAGGGUUUUUGAGGAAAGGAAAAUGGAACAGGAGUAUAGAACAUUUCAACGAGAUGAUCGCAGCAGAAAAAUCAGCUUUAGAUGCUGUUUCUUUGGUAAGCAUCUUAGCAGGCUGCAGCAGCUCUGGAGCUCUUCAACAGGGUAGGCGGAUACAUGCAAUGGUGAUAAAAAUUGGUUAUCAAAGCGAUAUCUUUGUCGGAUCAGCUGUCAUAAACAUGUAUGCUAAUUGUGCAGAAAUUGGUGAUGCAGAAUGGUAUUUUGGUUCUAUGAAAGAGAAGGAUGCGGCAUGCUGGAAUGCACUAAUUUCUGGUUAUAGCAUGAAUGGGUACGGUAAUGACGCUAUUGAUCUCUUUUUGAAGAUGAAGGGUUCUGGCAUAAACCCUGAUGAGUGGACGUUAUUAUCAGUCUUGUGUGCAUGCAGUCACGCAGGGAUGGUUGAUCAAGGACUCCAUAUUUUUCACCAUAUGGCCGAGUUUUGGAACAUAGUUCCCAAUUCAAAGCACUAUGCUUGUGUUAUUGAUCUUCUUGGCCGUGCGGGACUGUUAGAUGAUGCUUACCGAAUGAUUUGCAAUAUGCAUCUGCCCCCGACUGUUGAUGUUUAUGGUGCCAUGCUUAGUGCUUGUAGAGUUCAUAGAAACAUGGAUAUGGGAGUUGAGAUAGCGCAGAAGCUCUCUGCGCUGAAGCCUAGUGAUGUGGGGCACCAUAUAUUGCUCUCCAACAUGUACGCGUUGGCUGGAAAUUUGGAGGCUGUAAAGCUGACAAGGACAUCAUUACGAUUGACAAGACUAAAGAAGUAUCCAGGUUUUAGUUCAAUUGAGAUCGAUGGACAAAUAUACACAUUUAUGGCAAGUCAGAAAGAUCAUCCUCAAUACCAGCAUAUCAGUGGGUUCCUGAAGGGCAUAAUCUUGAAAAUUAAAUCAGAAGGUUAUGUUCCAGACAAAGAAUGUGUACUUCAGGAGGUUUCGGAUGAUAUGAGGGAGGAUAUUCUGUAUCACCACAGUGAGAAGUUGGCCAUUGUUCUUGGACUGUUGAAAACCAAACAAGGAACGGUCAUACGGAUAACAAAAAAUCUUCGCACUUGCAAUGAUUGUCACUCCGCAAGCAAGAUUAUCUCCAAAGUUUUUGGAAGAGCUCUAAUCAUAAAAGAUGCCAAUCGGUUCCAUGUUUUUGAAGAAGGAAUCUGUUCAUGCAAAGACUAUUGGUGAGCCACCUGGCGGAGAAAUAACAUUGGGUUUGUUUGGAUAGGGUAUUAUUUGAAAUAUUAUUUGGAAUAAUUACUGUAGCACUUUUUGUGAUGUGAUGUAUGUGAGAUAAAAAAGUAAUUGGAAAGAUAAAAAGUUGUAUUGAAAAUUGUAAUGGUGAUGUAAAUCACGCGUUUUUGACUGUCAAAUUCCUUUGAUUCAAACAUCAAUCUAUCAAAGAAGUCCUCUCGUGUGGAAUCUCUUGUAUUAUAAGGACUCUGAAGUUUAAGAACAAAAUAUUAGUGGUCAGCGGAGGAAAGGUUACGGUAAGGAGAAAUUACUGAAAUUGAUUGAGAAUGAGUUCCAUUAGUCAAAAAUAAAUAAUUAAUAUAUAAAAACCUAGAAACAGCUAACUGACUAAAAGAAGGUUAUUCUCGGCUUUUCCGGAGAGAGUUUGGAACAUGAACGAGAAGCAAAAGAAUUUUUGGCUAUAUUUGAAUUGAGGGAUUCAACAAACGAUUUAAAAAGAAUCACUAAAAAUUUUCUAAUUAUUUGGAUUGUUUGGGAGGUAUUUGAAUUUAUAAUUAACUGAUGAUUUAAAAGCGUUCGAAACAUGAAAAUAAUUGAUGAAUUACACAUGCAAAUGCCUCUUAAAUAAUCUAAACAGUUAAAUUGAUUUGAGAGGAUUUCAAAUUCCUCAAUCCAAGAGAAGCCUUUGCGCGCGCGCGUGUCUGUGUGUGUGUGUGUGUGUUUUUUUUUGGGGGUAAGCGAAGCCUUUGUGCUUGUUUCUUCAAUGUUCAUCGCAUUUCUCUUAUUUUUCUCCCUGAGAGUAAUGUUCAAGAAUUGGCCGAGAUUUCUCCAAGAGUCGGUGAAGUAGUAAAGGACUUUUUAUGGCUGCUAACGCAGAGAACCGUUAGUGAGAAAUUUCGCAUCGACUACAUUGCCACCAACUUCAUUUCUGAACCAGUUAAUACGCUAAAUUUACUAGAUAAAACUAUUAGGAUCUGACAGAAGCUAGUUAACUUGAAACCCAACAUAGGCUUUCCUUUAGCAUUCUGCACGAAAUUGACAAUCUUUCAAGCAUGAGUUUGGUUUGAUGGACAUAGGUUACUGCCAGCCAAUGAAAUCAACAAGUGAGACUCCAAAUGAAACUGGACUACAUCAAUUAGAUACUAACAAUACAGAGAACAAAAUUGUGAUGGAAGAACAGGUGUAUUGGCAGAGUAAAUAAAAACUUUGAGGGAAAGUAAAACAAGAAAGCUCAGAGUGCUAAUAUCAUGUUUUCAGCAAAUCUGAUUACAAGCAAAAUGCCUAAAGAAUGAGCUCAUUGGCUCUGCACAUUGUUCUAACUUCCUUCUAGCUAGACUAAUAAGAAAGCUACAAAUAUUCCAAUGAAUUGCUGCUAUAUAUCCACUAGCACAUGAGCUCAGCUGAGAGGGCAUGGUUGAUCAACUGAAGUUCUCUGAUCUGCAGUAGCUUGAACGUGCAACUCCACCACUUCAGCUACUUCCAACAACACUAAACCAACUCCUUAUUCCAGCUAGCCAUACUUCUACUUAAGACAAAAAUGUUAAGCGAUAAAAUCGAGCAUCAUGACAGUUACUUGAAAGAUAUAUCCAAGUGCAUGAAUCUUGCACAUACCAAAGUUGCUUGUUUCUAAUCAUCAGAAAUAUGGACCUGGAGCACCUUUUCACCAAUAAGUUCAAAUAUGCAGACAUUGCCAAUCUUCAGCUUAUUAUCGCGCACAAAUCUGGUCCAUCCUCCCACAAAAACAAAGUUUCCGCCGUUAAUUGUAUAAUUCACUUCCCAUUCUUUACCUUCUAUAUUUUUCAGCGUGAUUUUUGUCUUGGCCUUUUGGAAGUGUUUCUCUGCAAAUGACUUGGGUAUGAUCUGCACAAAAGAUGCAUCCAAGUAAACAUUAAUCCGUUCAACUUUGGAAGGACAAAACAAUUAGUACAUUGGAGACAUAAUUGCUGCAACCACUGGAUGAUCUCAAGAAUCGCCUGAAUUUUGUCCAGAUAUGCCAUUCAACCAUUCAAAUUCUCUAUUACCUCAAACCAUAAAAACAAUCUUACCAUUAAAAAAGGAGGAUUAACGUUGUAACGUUUGAUGUUUGUCUCAAAAAAAGGAUGCUGAGAGCAGAAUUCCUGCAAUGUAGCACCUUCUUCUCUACUCUGACUCUUCUCUCUUGGUUGAACAUGGGUAGUGUGCUGAUCCAAGUUUUUGGUACCUGAGUUUGCAACUUCUUGAUUUGUUCUCUCCACUCCACUUUUAUCAAAAAUUUGAACAGUGAAGCACCUAUCUCCAUGGUCAUAAUGGAAGAGGAGAAAAUCAUGUUCCUGCAGCAAGUUAUCUUCCACAAAUUUCUGCCAAUCAUCUCCCAGAAAGACAUCACCAUCGUCAGUCUUGACUACUUUAACAGACCAACAGCUUCCAUAUGAAGUCUCGAGGAUUAUUCUUUUAGGUAUCCCUAUUAGAACAUCCCUUACAAAUUGCGGAGGAAUUUUCUGCAACAGAUCGUGAUAUGGAACAAGAAAACUUGGUUGGAAUUUUUUUUAUCAUUAAUCAAUUAGCCAAUGACUAACAAGAACUGCAAAGAAUAAGACAUGAUUUGUCAUAUGAAUGCAUCUAUGAAAAAAAUUACCAGUCUAUUCUCUACAAGUUGAUUAAAAAUCUUGAAGAAGGCAGGCCUCUGGUCCAAUAUGAUCUCAUCCUUAUCUUUCCCCAGGCUCUUGUUCACCAUUUUCUCAAGUAUAAGUUUCACGACUUUUUCGUUCAAUAAUCUUGUCUAUUCAGUAAAAUCUCCAGCCCUGGAAUCAACAGCUAAGAACCAUUACUACGUUGCCAACGUGGUUGGUGAAAAAGCAAUUAGAUGCAGACUAGAAGAUGAACACCGAGCUUUUGCAUGGAAAGAAAUUAAACUAAUGUCCAAAAUUAAUUGCUAUAGAUGUAUUUUAUGAUUCAAUUUUUUUUAUAUAACCAAUGAAAUCAAGCAAUUAUAACUGAAUACACAAAAUAGAUAGGGCAUCGACAUUUAUUAUUUUAGUUUAAAAAAUGUCAUCAAUACUUGCAUUAAAAAUUUUGCAGUUAAGUCACAAGCACCUUGAUGCAUGUCAUUACCAAGUUUGAAUUUAUCAAAAAGCGCAUAAUAUUUCUUGUCUACAAUAAGUGCAAUUACCAUGCUGUAAAGUUCUGGUUAAAGCAAGUCCUGUGUAUUUCUUUCUCAGUCCAAGUACUGUUUUUGUUUUAGCCGAGUAUGUUUUCAUGCAUUUGUAAUGCAUGUUCAACAGAACCUUUACCUUGUACAAAAAUUAAAAGAAAUUAACAUACAAACAACAAUGAAUACAAAAUUCAUGGCAAAAUCUUCUAUUUCCUUAUUCAUCAUGAAAGACAAUAUGAAAUUUUGAGGCAUACGAAAAUAGCAGCAUAUAUAACCAAUAUACCUCGAGAUGCAAACCUAUGAUAUAUUAGUAAGAUAAGUUUUAAUAGUUUGUUGCGUGCUUCUCUGAAGUAAUACAAGAACUAAAGAAGUUGAUCAAAAACUAUUUUUAACCACAAAUACCAAGUAAAAAGAAAUUUUAGAAUACCAAAUAACUCCCAAAGCAGAGGAGGAAAAAAGUGCAGGACACUUAAAUCAACAGAUUUUAUGUAGUCUGCGAUCCUUUUUUUCUUUUUUUGACAAAACGAUAGGAUAGUCUGCGAUCCUAGUUGAUACAAUAGGAACUACACAUCGUUAUUCCAAUCCGCACAACCAUUAUUCUAUGUUCAACUAAUGUAAGGCUCCUAAUAGUACAUAGAAAUUAACUCCUAGUACUAUAUUGGAUUACCAAUCAGUAAUAGAUGAUAAAGAAAACCACCGAGAUGACCAUUUAAUGUAAUCAUAAAACAAGUAGGUCGGUGAUCAUCUCUACUGGUACACACAACAGGUUUCUAAAUAUCAGAACAAAUGCAUCCAGCUAGUCCAAUCUUUGAAUUUACAAAACUACAGCAUACAACUUUGAUAUUCCACAAAAGAAGAGAAGUCUCAACACUAUUAUUAAGCACACUGGACAUCUCUUUAGCUCAGGAAAUUUUUUGAUGCAGGAUCCAGCACACGCACAAGCAAAAUUUUAUAUUCUACCUGGUUUGGGACAAAUCUGAUUAGACCAAAAAAUUUUUGAAUUAUUUAAAUUUUACGUUAAUAGUUGUCCAGUUGGGAAGAGGGAGGAGCCAAGGAGUAAUCAUUUGAAAUUCUUUGUUUU
rnacentral:lncRNA from 1 species